rnacentral:lncRNA from 1 species
AAAAAAAAAAAAAAAAGUUUCAGCGACAUAGAGCUACUUUCACAUUUUCCUUCAUCAUAAAGUCUGCAGUUCUCCUUUUCUCCACAGGUGGGCAGCAUGUUCAUAGCAGAUGCCCAUGAGAAAAUCUCAGUACAAACCAAUGAGGCCAUUCUUCUGGCACUUUAUGAAGCUGUUCAUUUGAAUCGCAACUUCAUCACAGUGUUAGCUCAGGUUGGUAACAUUAAAAACCCCAACUUAUUGUUCUCCCUGAAUUUCACACAGAUUCAUUCUAUUAAAGGGGUCCUGGUUAUAGCUGUUUAGACUCUGCUUCCCCUUGGUAAGUGGCAGUAACAGAGUAACACCAUGCUGUCUUCAAGUCCUCAAGUAAGUCAUUCCUGAAGUAAGUUGGUGUCAUGACAUGCAAAGUUCCUGGUUCUGUUAAACCCAGGGACUUGCAAUUACUUCAUUUUGCUCACUAGAAAGUCCCAGUGUUAUCUGUGGGGUUUUUUUGUUGUUGUUGUUGUUGUUGGGGUUUUUUUUUGUGUGUUUUUUUUUUGAGACAAAGUCUCACUAUAUAUUCAGGCUGGCCUUGAACUCAGUGUGUAGUCCAGGCUGGCCUCUUACUCAGUGAUCCUUCUGCCUCAGUCUCCCAAGUGUUGGGAUUACAGGCAUGUGCAACCACGCCUACCUCUGGUGUUUAUUUUUAUUUAUGACUUUCUGCUUUCCAAACCCCUGUGGAAUUAUAGCUGAAAAUAAAAUAGGCCAUCACUUACUUUAUCUUACCAGUUUGCAGAGAAGUAAAAAAUAUCCUCCUCAGGUUAUGGUUAGCUGUUAACAGAUAGCUGUCUUUGAAAAGCAGGAAGACGUAGGAUACUAGUGCUGGGUCACAUGCCAGAGGGAUAGCCUCUCUAGCUGGCACAGAGGGGUACUAAAAUAGGUUAAGAACUCAAGUUCAUGAAAGCUAUUUUAAAAAAUUGAUGAAGUGUUUUUAUCUUAAAGUGAGACUCUUUAAAAUAUAUAUGUAGGUUUCUUUUCAGGGAAAGUUUGCUUAUGCUUUUUUUGUUUUCCUCUCAAAGACCAGAUGUAUAUGGAAUCCACAGAGUUUUAGCCAAAAAAUAAGGUCAUGCUUUAAAAACAGAAUGUUGGUUUGGGAUCUACUACUAUUCUCACUCUGUUUCUCAUCUUUUCUCCAAAUUCCACAAGUUAUUUUAUCUUUUUAUAUAUAUAUAUAUAU